GAUGAAGAACGUAGCGAAAUGCGAUACGUAAUGUGAAUUGCAAAUUCAGUGAAUCAUCGAGUCUUUGAACGCACAUUGCGCCCCCUGGUAUUCCGGGGGGCAUGCCUGUCCGAGCGUCAUUGCUGCCCUCAAGCACGGCUUGUGUGUUGGGCCCCGUCCUCCGAUCCCGGGGGACGGGCCCGAAAGGCAGCGGCGGCACCGCGUCCGGUCCUCGAGCGUAUGGGGCUUUGUCACCCGCUCUGUAGGCCCGGCCGGCGCUUGCCGAUCAACCCAAAUUUUUAUCCAGGUUGACCUCGGAUCAGGUAGGGAAACCCGCUGAACUUAAGCAUAUCAAUAAGCGGAGGA
rnacentral:misc_RNA from 1 species